UUGAGCCGUCUGUAUUAAAGGGACAUGCACGGUCCUGAGGGGGUCGCUAUGCAGCAAAUUCGUAGCGGCUACCCGAC
rnacentral:autocatalytically_spliced_intron from 3 species